rnacentral:rRNA from 1 species
AUUGAACGCUGGCGGCAUGCCUUACACGUGCAAGUCGAACGGUAACAGGUUAAGCUGACGAGUGGCGAACGGGUGAGUAAUGUAUCGGAACGUGCCCAGUCGUGGGGGAUAACUGCUCGAAAGAGCAGCUAAUACCGCAUACGACCUGAGGGUGAAAGCGGGGGAUCGCAAGACCUCGCGCGAUUGGAGCGGCCGAUAUCAGAUUAGGUAGUUGGUGAGGUAAAGGCUCACCAAGCCGACGAUCUGUAGCUGGUCUGAGAGGACGACAGGCCACACUGGGACUGGGACACGGCCCAGACUCCUACGGGAGGCAGCAGUGGGGAAUUUUGGACGAUGGGCGCAAGCCUGAUCCCGCCAUGCCGCGUGCGGGAAGAAGGCCUUCGGGUUGUAAACCGCUUUUGUCAGGGAAGAAAAGGUUCUGGUUAAUACCUGGGACUCAUGACGGUACCUGAAGAAUAAGCACCGGCUAACUACGUGCCAGCCGCCGCCGUAACAC